CGGCUGACAAUAUUGCAGCUUAGUUUUAGAAUCCUUGUGGCCCCCUAGGGCUAUCUUAGUGAGUACUAAGAU